UACGUAGGGUGCGAGCGUUUGUCCGGAAUUAUUGGGCGUAAAGAGCUCGUAGGCGGUCUGUCGCGUCGAAUGUGAAAACCCGGGGCUCAACUCCGGGCUUGCAUUCGAUACGGGCAGGCUAGAGUUCGGUAGGGGAGUCUGGAAUUCCUGGUGUAGCGGUGAAAUGCGCAGAUAUCAGGAGGAACACCGGUGGCGAAGGCGGGACUCUGGGCCGAUACUGACGCUGAGGAGCGAAAGCGUGGGGAGCGAACAGG
rnacentral:rRNA from 1 species